UUCACAUAUGAAUGUAAGUUCCUUUGGAUAAAAGCUUCUGCUAAAUUACAUAUG
rfam:Salmo salar isolate Sally breed double haploid chromosome ssa20, whole genome shotgun sequence.